UACGUAGGUGGCGAGCGUUAUCCGGAAUGACUGGGUGUAAAGGGAGCGCAGGCGGGUGUUCAAGUUGGAUGUGAAAUACCGAGGCUCAACCUCGGAGCUGCAUCCAAAACUGUACAUCUUGAGUGGAGUAGAGGCAAGCGGAAUUCCGAGUGUAGCGGUGAAAUGCGUAGAUAUUCGGAGGAACACCGGUGGCGAAGGCGGCUUGCUGGGCUCUAACUGACGCUGAGGCUCGAAAGUGUGGGUAG
rnacentral:rRNA from 1 species